rfam:Populus trichocarpa isolate Nisqually-1 chromosome 17, whole genome shotgun sequence.
CCACUAAAUCAUGAUGAUAUCAUAACAUAUAUUCUUGCAGGUCUCAGCCAUGAAUAUGAUCGCUUUGUGGCCUCCAUAUCAGCACGCGCUGAUAAUAUUACCCUUGAAGAAAUCUAUUCUCACCCUUGCCAUCCAGC